AUUGAACGCUGGCGGAAUGCUUUACACAUGCAAGUCGAACGGCAGCACGGGGGCAACCCUGGUGGCGAGUGGCGAACGGGUGAGUAAUACAUCGGAACGUGCCCAGUCGUGGGGGAUAACUACGCGAAAGCGUAGCUAAUACCGCAUACGAUCUAUGGAUGAAAGCGGGGGACCGUAAGGCCUCGCGCGAUUGGAGCGGCCGAUGGCAGAUUAGGUAGUUGGUGGGGUAAAGGCCUACCAAGCCUGCGAUCUGUAGCUGGUCUGAGAGGACGACCAGCCACACUGGGACUGAGACACGGCCCAGACUCCUACGGGAGGCAGCAGUGGGGAAUUUUGGACAAUGGGCGCAAGCCUGAUCCAGCCAUUCCGCGUGCAGGAUGAAGGCCCUCGGGUUGUAAACUGCUUUUGUACGGAACGAAACGGUGCUGGUUAAUACCUGGCGCUAAUGACGGUACCGUAAGAAUAAGCACCGGCUAACUACGUGCCAGCCGCCGCCGUAACAC
rnacentral:rRNA from 1 species